rnacentral:rRNA from 1 species
AUAACGGUCCUAAGGUAGCGAAAUUCCUUGUCGGGUAAGUUCCGACCCGCACGAAUGGCGUAACGAUGGCCACACUGUCUCCUCCUGAGACUCAGCGAAGUUGAAAUGUUUGUGAAGAUGCAAUCUACCCGCGGCUAGACGGAAAGACCCCAUGCACCUUUACUGUAGCUUUACAUUGGACUGUGACACGGCCUGUGUAGGAUAGCUGGGAGCCUUUGAAGUCGGGACGCUAGUUCCGAUGGAGGCAACCUUGAAAUACCAGCCUGGUAGUGUUGCGGUUCUAACCUAGGUCCAUUAUCUGGAUCGGGGACCGUGUAUGGUAGGCAGUUUGACUGGGGCGGUCUCCUCCCAAAGAGUAACGGAGGAGUGCGAAGGUAACCUAGGUACGGUCGGACAUCGUACUGAUAGUGCAAUGGCAUAAGGUUGCUUGACUGCGAGACUGACAAGUCGAGCAGGUGCGAAAGCAGGUCAUAGUGAUCCGGUGGUUCUGAAUGGAAGGGCCAUCGCUCAACGGAUAAAAGGUACGCUGGGGAUAACAGGCUGAUUCCUCCCAAGAGUUCAUAUCGACGGGGGAGUUUGGCACCUCGAUGUCGGCUCAUCACAUCCUGGGGCUGUAGCCGGUCCCAAGGGUAUGGCUGUUCGCCAUUUAAAGUGGUACGUGAGCUGGGUUCAAAACGUCGUGAGACAGUUUGGUCCCUAUCUGCCGUGGGCGUUGGAUAUUUGACGGGGGCUGCUCCUAGUACGAGAGGACCGGAGUGGACGUACCGCUGGUGUACCUGUUGUCUCGCCAGAGGCAUCGCAGGGUAGCUAAGUACGGAAGAGAUAACCGCUGAAAGCAUCUAAGCGGGAAACUUGCCUGAAGAUGAGAUAUCCCGGAGGUUUAACCUCCUUGAAGGGUCGUUCGAGACCAGGACGUUGAUAGGUCGGGUGUGGAAGCGUAGUAAUACGUUAAGCUAACCGAUACUAAUUGCCCGUAAGGCUUGACU